GCAAGAACUCAGAAGAUUCCAUGCGUGCCAUCACUUGUUUUCCUAUUAUUAAUAAAACACCCUUUCCUUCUAACCAAACUAUUUUCACAUUCAGGAAUCUGCAAUUCUGCUGUUCUGCUAUUCUGAAGUUGGCUUGCUGCUCUCCUUUCUCCUUUCACCAAAACAACCGUUUCCUCGUCGAUUUAUCACCCAAUACUCACUGCUGUUUCCCAUUUUUUCAUUUUCCUUCUCUCCGUCUCUCCCUCUUGCCAGAAAGCCUUUUACUUAUUUCGUUUUGGGGAUCACUGAAUUCCAAAAUCCAAAGCUUUCUCAAUCUCUUCACUCUGUAACCCUUUUCUCUUUUUUAUCAACUAUUUCUUCUUCUUUACCAGUAAUCACUCUCCUUUUCCACUUUCCUGAUUUCUGUCUCUCCUCUCCUCUCCUCUCCUCUCUUCCUGAAAGAAAAAAAAACAAUCCAGCUCUCUUCCACAAACUCUGCUCUUUUUAUACCUCAAGCCUUCCAUUUCUUCUGUCACAACAGUUUCAAUCAAAUAUCAAUCUCGUGUAUUGUCUUUCUCCUGCUGUGGUUGCUCUAUUAAUUCUUUAUCUGCCUUUGCUCAAUUCCCAUCUAUUUCUAGAAAAAAGAAGUUGGAAAUGGUUGACAUUGUUAUUUCCGUUGCAGCAAAAGUUGCAGAGUACCUGGUUGGUCCAAUUAUACGUCCACUGGGUUAUGUGGUUAACUACCGUCACAACAUUACGGAUCUCAACCAAAAAAUUCAGAGUCUCCAUCUUGAAAGGGAGAGGCUGCAGAUACCUGUGGAUGAUGCUAAUAGGCAAAGGGAUGAAAUCUUUUCUGAUGUUCAGGAGUGGCUGACGUAUGCAGAAGGGAUCAUCCAAAAGAGAGAUGAUUUCAAUGAAGAUGAAAGGAAAGCAAGCAAGAGCUGUUUCUAUUUAAAGUCCCGCUACCAGCUAAGCAAGCAAGCAAAGAAGCAGGCUGCGGAGAUUGUUGAUAAAAUCCAAGAAGCUCAUAACUUUGGUGGCAGAGUAUCGCAUCGCGCUCCUCCUCCUCCUCCUCCAUUCAUCAGCUCUGCAUCUUUCAAAGAUUAUGAGGCUUUCCAGUCAAGAGAGUCUACUUUUAACCAAAUUAUGGAGGCCUUGAGAAACGAAGAUAUGCGCAUGCUCGGUGUCUGGGGAAUGGGCGGCGUGGGCAAAACCACUCUUGUCAAACAAGUAGCUCAACAAGCGGAGGAAGACAAGCUCUUUCACAAGGUGGUCCUGGUGUUACACAUAUCCCAAACUCCCAACAUCACAGAAAUUCAAGAAAAAAUUGCAAGAAUGUUGGGUUUGAAAUUUGAGGCGGGGGAGGAUAGAGCAGGUCGCCUGAUGCAAAGGUUGAAGAGAGAGAAGAAAAUCCUGGUGAUCUUAGAUGAUAUCUGGGAGAAACUUGGGUUGGGAAAAAUAGGAAUUCCUUAUGGAGAUGAUCACAAGGGGUGCAAAGUGCUGCUGACUUCCCGGGAGCGUCAGGUUUUAUCUAAAGAUAUGUAUACUCAAAAGGAGUUCCAUCUUCAACAUUUAAGUGAAGAUGAAGCCUGGAAUUUAUUCAAGAAGACAGCAGGUGAAUCCGUGGAGAAGCCUGAACUGCGUCCCAUAGCAGUUGAUGUAGCUAAAAAAUGUGACGGUCUACCAGUUGCAAUUGUCACCAUUGCAAAUGCAUUAAGAGGUGAGAUGGUGGGUGUAUGGGAGAAUGCGUUGGAAGAACUGAGAAGGUCUGCACCAACAAACAUCAGAGGAGUAACUAAAGGCGUCUACUCAUGUCUGGAGCUGAGCUACAACCAUUUGGAAGGUGAUGAAGUAAAGUCAUUGUUUUUACUUUGCGCUUUGCUGGGGGAUGGUGAUAUUUCCAUGGAUCGCUUGCUACAAUUUGCUAUGUGUUUGAAUUUGUUUGAAAGAACAUAUUCAUGGGAGAAAGCAAUAAAUAAACUAAUUACAUUGGUGGAAAACCUCAAAGUCUCAAGCUUGUUGCUUGACCAUGAAGGAGAUGGUGAUAGCUCUUCGAGCUUGCUUUUUGAUCAAGCUUUUGUCAGAAUGCAUGAUGUUGUUCGUGAUGUUGCCAGAUCAAUUGCAUCCAAAGAUCCUCAUCGAUUUGUGGUGAGAGAAGCUGUUGGAUCACAAGAAGCUGCUGAAUUACGAGAAUGGCAGAAGACGGAUGAGUGCAGAAAUUGCACUCGCAUCUCUUUGAUAUGCAGAAAUAUGGAUGAGCUUCCACAGGGCUUGGUAUGUCCGCAACUUGAAUUCUUUUUAUUGAAUUCAAGUAAUGAUGAUCCUUAUUUGAAAAUUCCAGAUGCCUUUUUCCAAGACACCAAACAACUCAGAAUUUUAGAUUUGUCUAAAGUGUCUCUUACACCAUCUCCUUCAUCACUUGGUUUUCUUUCAAAUCUUCAAACAUUGCGUCUAAAUCAAUGCCAGAUCCAAGACAUAACAGUAAUUGGAGAACUGAAGAAACUACAAGUCCUUAGUUUGGCAGAGUCCAACAUUGAACAGCUGCCAAAUGAAGUGGCGCAAUUGAGUGAUCUAAGGAUGUUGGAUUUGCGGUAUUGCGAUAGCCUUGAAGUAAUUCCACGAAAUGUUAUAUCAAGUCUAUCCCAAUUAGAGUAUUUGAGUAUGAAAGGAAGUUUUCGUAUUGAAUGGGAGGCGGAAGGAUUUAAUAGGGGAGAAAGAAUUAAUGCUUGCCUUUCUGAGCUGAAACACCUGUCUAGUUUGAGGACUUUGGAGUUACAACUAUCAAAUCUCAGUUUGUUUCCAGAAGAUGGCGUGCCCUUCGAAAACCUCAACUUGACCAGAUAUUCAAUAGUAAUAAGCCCUUACCGGAUACGAAAUGAUGAGUAUAAAGCCUCCUCAAGAAGGUUGGUGUUUCAAGGGGUUACAAGUCUUUAUAUGGUGAAGUGCUUCUCCAAGCUGUUGAAGAGAAGUCAAGUUCUAGACUUGGGGGAAUUGGAUGAUACUAAGCAUGUGGUUUAUGAGUUAGACAAGGAAGGUUUCGUUGAACUCAAGUAUCUCACUCUCUCUGGAUGUCCUACCGUUCAAUACAUCCUUCAUUCCAGUACUUCAGUGGAAUGGGUUCCACCACCUAAUACCUUCUGUAUGUUGGAGGAACUGAUCCUUGAUGGCCUAGAUAACUUGGAGGCAGUAUGCCAUGGCCCAAUUCCGAUGGGGUCUUUUGGUAACUUAAGAAUUCUAAGACUAGAGAGUUGUGAGAGGUUGAAAUAUGUUUUCUCUCUUCCCACACAACAUGGAAGGGAAUCAGCUUUUCCUCAACUGCAACAUUUGGAGUUGAGUGAUCUCCCAGAGCUCAUUAGCUUCUACUCCACAAGAUGCAGUGGUACCCAGGAGUCAAUGACAUUUUUCAGUCAACAGGCUGCAUUCCCUGCCUUGGAGUCCUUGCGUGUACGUCGUCUAGAUAAUCUGAAAGCAUUGUGGCACAACCAACUUCCAACAAAUUCCUUUUCCAAACUAAAGGGCUUGGAAUUAAUUGGCUGUGAUGAAUUGCUGAAUGUUUUUCCCCUUUCCGUGGCGAAAGUCCUUGUGCAACUUGAGGACCUAAAGAUAUCCUUUUGUGAAGUACUAGAGGCAAUUGUUGCUAAUGAGAAUGAAGAUGAAGCAACAUCUUUAUUCUUAUUCCCUAGACUAACCUCUCUCACACUCAAUGCUUUACCCCAACUCCAAAGAUUUUGCUUCGGAAGGUUUACUUCAAGAUGGCCACUUUUAAAAGAAUUGGAAGUGUGGGAUUGUGAUAAAGUGGAGAUACUAUUUCAAGAAAUAGAUUUGAAAAGUGAACUUGACAACAAAAUUCAACAAUCACUCUUCUUGGUUGAAAAGGUUGCACUCCCAAACUUGGAGUCCUUGUUUGUAGGCACACUGGAUAAUAUAAGAGCAUUGCGGCCUGACCAACUUCCAGCAAAUUCAUUUUCCAAAUUAAGGAAAUUGGAAGUAAUUCUAUGCAACAAAUUGCUAAAUCUUUUUCCGCUUUCUGUGGCGAGUGCUCUUGUGCAACUUGAGGACCUAUGGAUAUCCUGGAGUGGAGUGGAGGCAAUUGUUGCCAAUGAAAAUGAAGAUGAAGCAGCACCUUUACUCUUAUUCCCUAACCUUACCUCUCUCACACUCCGUUAUUUACACCAACUCAAAAGAUUUUGCUCUGGAAGGUUUAGUUCAAGCUGGUCACUUCUUAAAAAAUUAGAAGUGGACAAUUGUGAUAAAGUGGAGAUACUCUUUCAACAAAUAGGUUUGGAAUGUGAACUUGAGCCACUCUUCUGGGUAGAACAGGUUGCAUUCCCAAGCUUGGAGUCCUUGUUUGUAUGCAACCUACAUAAUAUAAGAGCAUUGUGGCCUGACCAACUUCCAGCAAAUUCAUUUUCCAAAUUAAGGAAAUUGCGAGUAAGUAAAUGCAACAAAUUGCUAAAUCUUUUUCCGCUUUCUAUGGCAAGUGCUCUUAUGCAACUUGAGGACCUACAUAUAUCGGGGGGUGAAGUGGAGGCAAUUGUUACCAAUGAAAAUGAAGAUGAAGCAGCACCUUUAUUUUUAUUCCCUAACCUUACCUCUCUCACACUCCGUGAUUUACACCAACUCAAAAGAUUUUGCUCUGGAAGGUUUAGUUCAAGCUGGCCACUUUUGAAAAAAUUGGAAGUGCUUGAUUGUGAUAAAGUGGAGAUACUCUUUCAACAAAUAAGUUUGGAAUGUGAACUUGAGCCACUCUUCUGGGUAGAACAGGUUGCACUCCCAGGCUUGGAGUCCUUGUAUACAGACGGACUAGAUAAUAUAAGAGCAUUGUGUCUUGACCAACUUCCAGCAAAUUCAUUUUCCAAAUUAAGGAAACUACAAGUAAGGGGAUGCAACAAAUUGCUAAACCUUUUUCCGGUUUCUGUGGCGAGUGCUCUUGUGCAACUUGAGGACCUAUAUAUAUCGGCGAGUGGAGUGGAGGCAAUUGUUGCCAAUGAAAAUGAAGAUGAAGCCUCACCUUUACUCUUAUUCCCUAACCUUACCUCUCUCACACUCUUCAGUUUACACCAACUGAAAAGAUUUUGCUCUGGAAGGUUUAGUUCAAGCUGGCCACUUCUGAAAGAAUUGGAAGUGGUCGAUUGUGAUAAAGUGGAGAUACUCUUUCAACAAAUAAAUUUGGAAUGUGAACUUGAGCCACUCUUUUGGGUAGAACAGGAAGCAUUUCCUAAUUUGGAAGAACUAACAUUGAGCUUAAAGGGCACUGUGGAGAUAUGGCGAGGCCAAUUUUCAAGGGUGUCUUUUUCGAAGUUAAGCGUUUUGACAAUAAAGGAGUAUCAUGGUAUUUCAGUUGUGAUUCCCUCGAAUAUGGUUCAAAUACUACAUAAUCUGGAAAAACUAGAGGUGAGAAUGUGUGAUUCAGUGAAUGAGGUUAUCCAAGUAGAAAUAGUGGGAAAUGAUGGACAUGAACUAAUAGAUAAUGAGAUUGAGUUCACCAGAUUAAAGAGUUUGACAUUUUAUCAUUUGCCAAAUCUGAAAAGCUUUUGCUCAUCAACAAGAUAUGUCUUCAAAUUCCCAUCCUUGGAAACAAUGAAGGUGGGAGAAUGUCAUGGGAUGGAAUUUUUUUGCAAGGGAGUCUUAAAUGCACCAAGGCUAAAAAGUGUACAAGAUGAAUUUUUUCGAAGAAUAUUGGCAAGAUGACCUGAAUACCACCAUACGUAAGAAGUUCAUGGAACAGGGUUAUAAAGAGGAAGAUUCUGAAAAAUUGGAUUCUAUCAAUUCAGAUUUUAGGGAUGAGGAUUUUGAAGAAGACUAAUUUCAUUUUUCGAAUGCAAAACAAGGAAGAGGUGUUUGGUUUUUCUACAUAGUCUAUGUAGAAGAAAUUUCAAGGAAAUUGAAAGAAAAAAAUCGGAUCAAAUCGGAGCAAAAACAGAGUGAAAACAGAGCAAAAACAGAGCUCUGCGAGAUUUCGCAGGCUGAAGAAAACUUCUGCGAAAUGAGCAUUUUGUUGCCAAACCAUUCCGCAACACUUUGGAAGUCUCUGCGAGAAUUUUCACAAUUGCGAAAGCGAGUUUGGCACACGAGUGCCACUUCGCAGCACAGGAGCAUCUGUUUCGCAGCUGCGAAACGCAUUGCGAAGAGGAAAGGCCUGAUUUCGCAACAAAAGUCCCAUUCCGCAAGGUAUUUCGCAAUUGCGAAAGUGAUUUUGGCACACGUGUGCCACUUUGCAAAACAGUAACAUUAAUUUCACAGCUGCGAAACGCAUUGCGAAGUGGCUGCAAAAAUUGGCAUUUUGCUGCGAAAUUGGCGUUUUGUUGCGAAACUCAAACUGACCCUUAGUCUUCCGUUAUUACUAUAUAUACUGGUCAUUUGAGAUGCGAAAAGGGUUUCAAAAUCAGAGCGCGCCAUUCUCGCAGGCUGUUCAUCUCCUUCCUUGAGACUCACCAUGCAAGCCUCCGGUCAUCUUCUUCGAUUAGCAGCUCCGGCCAAAUUUCGGCAACCCGAAAUGGCGCAAACCAGAGGGGCUAAGUAUUCAUCUCCUUCAAACCGCAAGAGAAGCCUGCGAAAGGAGCCAGUUCUGGAUCCCGUUCCUGAGCCUUCGCAGCCGAAAGCAAUUCCUCCUCCGGUGAAGCCAGUGCCACCAAAACCGCCGAUGAGGCGUUACCUUACCAGGUCAGGGGGUCGGCCACUGCAAAAGAGACCCAGGGUAGAGAGCUCAGAACCCAUCGAUUUGACUGAGCAAUCGCCAAUUCCAUCACUGGUUCCAACUCCAGUGCCGUCUCCAGUUCCCUCGCCGAGUCCCUUGCCAGUUUCAUCUCCGGUGCCAUCUCCGGCGCCGCAAACAAAGCCGCAGGAGCCUCAGCCACCACUUCCCAAGCCCCAAAUUCCAGCUGAAAUAGCUCCAGAAGAAGUAAUCAGGAGGCCAAUGCUAACUCAGCCCCCAAUUGAGGGAAAUUUGGAUUGUAGAGCUCGGCCAUUCCAUUCCGAGCUAUUCUUCGACAUAGCAGCAUUCAGAGUGAGGCCAGAGCUUACACAAUCGUUCAACCUGCUGAGAAGGUACCACAUGGAGCACCUGCUGACUCCGAGAGACUUUUUCUACCCCAGGAUAGCCAUGGAUUUCUAUCAAUCCAUGACAACCAACCAGGUCAGGGAUCCAACUUUGAUUCAUUUCACUAUUGAUGGGAGGCAUGGCAUAUUGGAGCACGCCAUAUUGCUGAAGCCUUGCAAAUUCCCUAUGAGCCAACCCAAUUCGAUAAUUUUAGAGCUUGGACCAAUCCUACUAAGCUGGAGAUGGUGCGCACCCUUUCCAGAGGAGCUGCCAAUCGAUCACAUUUGUUGAGGGGGGAGCUUCCUCCAAUUAUGUUUUUGAUUGAUGCAUUUUUGCGUCAUAAUCUCUACCCACUGCAGCAUUGGACUCAAAGAAGAGGAGUCCUCUUAGAAGCCCUGUACAAGAUGUCUGAAGGAUUUUUCUUUGGGCCUCAUCAUCUGAUUUUGGCAGCCCUUCUCUAUUUCGAAGAGAAGGUACACAAAAAGAAGCUUCAGAGAGCUAAUUGCAUUCCCCUCCUCUUUCCAAGGCUGCUAUGCCAAAUUCUGGAGCACUUAGGAUAUCCUUCUAAGCCUCAGUUGGAGAGAAAGCGCAUUUGUCGUGAUCUAUUUACUCUCAACAAAUGGAACAACAUGACAGCUUACAAAGUUGAUCAGCCUGAGCAGCCUCAGCCUGCUGCAAGGAGAGCAUCCCCACGACACAUACCUGAGGGUAUAAUAGUUGCUGCUCCUGCCAUUCCUAGAGCUCUACCAGCUGCACCAGCUUCAUCUCAGCCAUCCACUUCAGCUGAACUGAGGAUGGCCAUUCCUAUAUCUGAAUAUAGAGAGUUGUGCCGUUCAUUGGACACUCUCACAGCUUCUCAGAGCAGUCUUGCUCAAGAGAUUGCAGCCAUUAGAGCAUGCCAAGAGCAGAUGUUGGCCACUCAGGCCAAACACACUGCCAUCUUAAGGCAGCUCCAGCAUCAUUUCAAUUUGCCGCCAGCUGUAGAGCCCUCCACUUCUACUCCAGCAGAGCCACACUCUCAUCCCUCAGAGUCUCAUCCUCCAGAGCCCCAAGCCCCAGCUGAAGCACUUAUUGAAGAGGCAGACCCAUCUGCCUAGCCCCAGCACCACCCACUCAUCAGACAUUAUAUAUAUCUACUGCUUAUGUUUUUUUAUGUAUUUCGUUUUUUUUUAGUUUGAAAGAAAUCCCAUUAUUUUGGUACUAUAUUUGGGAUUGCUUGUUUUACUUUUCUUUUGCAUUGUACUCGAAUGAAUUUAAAGUAAUACAAGUAUUGACAGUUAGCAUUAACUUAUUCUUAUUUCCUUUUCUCACAUAUUCUAUUCUUU